ensembl:rRNA 5S_rRNA 5S ribosomal RNA
GCUUACGGCCAUACCACUCUGACAAAGCCUGAUCUCAUCUGACCUCGGAAGCAAAGCAGAGCUGGGCCUGGUUAGUACUUGGUUGGGAGGACUGAAUGGGAAUACUAGGUGCUGUAAGCU